GGGCUUCAUAGUCUAUCUAUAACAACUUCUUGGAUUUGAUUUAUCAAUCAAAUAACUGUAAUUUUUCAUUGGUAACAGUGAUUUGCAAGAAACCAUUUGGUGUAACUAAAAGAGUCCCUGGGGUUUAAAAAAGCUAGCGGUCGAUUUACAUUUGUGAAGUAGUUAGUAUGUAGUAGCGCAUGGGUUGGAAUGAAUGGUUUCUUUUGUAUAACAAGAAACAGAGCAACAAGUAACCUAUCUACCAACUCCAACCCAAAAACCAGAACUGGCGAUUCAACUACUAGGAUCAUGAGAAAAAUCAGGCUCGUCAGGCUUAAAAAGUUUAGGCAUACCUAAGCUGGAUUCACCAGAGUCCACACGUCCCCCCGUCUUGCCUCUUCUGGUAUUAGCAGCAAAUCUUGAUGCCAAUACUCCAAGUUGCUGAGUACUGCUUUCUGUUGCCUGAUCCGAAGCAUUACCACCAGCUUCUGGAUAUUCACGACCAUAAUUGUCAUCUUGGUCCAUCCCUCCCCUGUAGUACAAGC
rnacentral:misc_RNA from 1 species